rnacentral:rRNA from 1 species
GUGGGGAAUAUUGGACAAUGGGGGCAACCCUGAUCCAGCAAUGCCGCGUGAGUGAUGAAGGCCUUAGGGUUGUAAAGCUCUUUUGGCGGGGACGAUGAUGACGGUACCCGCAGAAUAAGCCCCGGCUAACUUCGUGCCAGCAGACGCGGUAAUACGAAGGGGGCGAGCGUUGUUCGGAAUUACUGGGCGUAAAGGGCGCGUAGGCGGCCGAUCAAGUCAGAUGUGAAAGUCCUGGGCUUAACCUGGGGACUGCAUUUGAUACUGAUUGGCUUGAAUGCAGGAGAGGAUAGCGGAAUUCCCAGUGUAGAGGUGAAAUUCGUAGAUAUUGGGAAGAACACCGGUGGCGAAGGCGGCUAUCUGGACUGUGAUUGACGCUGAGGCGCGAAAGCGUGGGGAGCAAAC